ACGACCUUACUUGAACAGGAUCUGUUCUAUAGGUUGUACAAUUGUAUCCUUGAGUUCUAAGGAGACAAGAUGUAAGAAGUCGAAAUGUUGCAAAAUGGAGACUUUGUGCAAUAAAGAAAGAUUCACAUGGUUUAUUUGAGAUCACAAAGUUGUUUGACCAACA